rnacentral:rRNA from 1 species
CUGACGAGUGGCGGACGGGUGAGUAAUGCUUGGGAAUCUGGCUUAUGGAGGGGGAUAACUACGGGAAACUGUAGCUAAUACCGCGUAGAAUCGGAAGAUGAAAGUGCGGGACCGCAAGGCCGCAUGCCAUGAGAUGAGCCCAAGUGGGAUUAGGUAGUUGGUGGGGUAAAGGCCUACCAAGCCUGCGAUCUCUAGCUGGUCUGAGAGGAUGGCCAGCCACACUGGAACUGAGACACGGUCCAGACUCCUACGGGAGGCAGCAGUGGGGAAUAUUGCGCAAUGGGGGGAACCCUGACGCAGCCAUGCCGCGUGAAUGAAGAAGGCCUUCGGGUUGUAAAGUUCUUUCGGUAUUGAGGAAGGUUGAUGUGUUAAUAGUACAUCAAAUUGACGUUAAAUACAGAAGAAGCACCGGCUAACUCCGUGCCAGCAGCCGCGGUAAUACGGAGGGUGCGAGCGUUAAUCGGAAUAACUGGGCGUAAAGGGCACGCAGGCGGUUAUUUAAGUGAGGUGUGAAAGCCCCGGGCUUAACCUGGGAAUUGCAUUUCAGACUGGGUAACUAGAGUACUUUAGGGAGGGGUAGAAUUCCACGUGUAGCGGU